AUUCAACAAUUCAGAAGCAUUUUCAUAUAAAUAGAUGAGUAUUGUUAAUAAUAUAAUGAAGAAUAUUUAUGUAAUCUUUUAUCUUUUUGUUAAUGGAAUAUAAAUCUAAUUUUUAACAGAAUUAUCCUCCUACUGAGAAAAUGGAUAGCCGUCGGCUAGACAAAUUGAGGAAAACAGUUGUCCGAUAGUCACAUCUGUUCCCGGAUUAUGAGAACGAUAAAUUUCAGCCUGUGAAGCUAACAGCCGGAUUAGCGAGCGUUGUCGCGGUGUCAACGAGAGUUAAGUACAAAAAGUACGAUUUUUUUGGAACGUCGAUGUCGCAAGAAGACCGGAAAUGAAAGAAAACAGCGAGCACUGUUCGCAAACAGAGAUGCUCGUCAAGAGUCCCUGGACUUAUUGUCUUCGCUGUUCAGCCACGGCUACCUAACGUGCAUGUGCGGAUUCUACGAUUUUUUUGAAUCGAACAAGAGGUCAGAGGUGACCACCAUGGACUCCGGAUUGAAUUUCUGAAUCAACGUCUUCGAGGAGGUAUUAGACCCACGUGAAUACCGUGGUCCCCGAUGUCGGGGUCGUGAAUUGGAAAAAAAGGGCCUCACGGAUCGUUGUGGUCUGGUUGGGCCUCUGGAAUCCUCAGUGGGGGUCCCACGGAUGGGUUCUUUCGUUUUUCUCUCGAUCCCGGAGGAAUCAUUGUCGUUUCCUCUGCGCAACGCUUUCUUUCAACGUUUUCUCAUACCCCCAAUCUUUUUCAUAUCGGGCAAGUAUUUCCUAACAUAAUUGAUUAACAAUUGCUAUAACCUACAUGUAUCUAAUACAGGGUGAACAAUAUAUAGCUGACUAAUUUCAAAGUCCCAAUAUUCCAGAACGAUGUAUUUUUUGUGCCGCACUAGAAAUUAUGUUAUGGGUGCAUGGCAAACAAACAAGAAGCCAUUCAUCAAGGAUGUACAUAGUUCUAAUGACAUCACACUUGAUAUAUUGGAAACAAAUAUGAAGUGGCACAGCAAUUUUACGAAACGAAUUUAUAUUUAAUAAAAGCAAUGAAUAAAUCAGAAUUGAACUUCAAAGUAACGAAGAAAAAUAGGGGCAACAUGGUAAUGAACAAAAAAGAGAAAAGCCAGGAAAUUUGAAACUAGUGAUCCAUUAUGCAGCAAAGAUAUCAAAGCUAAGCUGGAAAAAGAAGAAAAGUAGAAGUAACACAGCAGCCAAGUAAAAAAGGAGGAAAGCCGAGAAAAAAAUGUUGAAAGUUGAAACUAAUGUCGGAGUCGAGGCUACUAAUUGCCAUGGAAAUUUCGCAGGGUCUGGUGAAUUCGUUCAGCAGGUCCCGUGGCACAGUAGAGGUCGGUAGUUGAAUCUAAAUAAUCCUGGUUCUCGGAAGGAGAGGGCCAUCAGGACACGCGACACUUCCCAAGUCGAAGGAAGCGUGCCCUUUCUUAUUUUUUCAUCCUGCUUGGAACCCUGUGGUUGCUACGGGCCCCUGGAAUCAUUCUGGUGAAAGAUUCAUCGUUGCUGUUUCAGCAGACUCUGUAUAUGUUAUCAACUGAUGCAAUUUGUAGAUCUUUGGUAAAAAAAAGGAGAAAACCAGUCUCUAGGGAUGAAUUUUACAAUAGAAAUGACAUAGGAAACAAAAUCAGUAACAUAAGUAAAUUAUCAAGUCAGUUACUGAUAAUAUCAAUGUAUAUAGUUUUUAAAAAUAUUAUAUAAAACAUAAAACAAUGUGGAUAGCCUUAAUAAAUAUUAAACAUUAUUAAAUGCUAAAUAUUAAAUGAAAUAUCAGUGUCAAUAAUAUUGAGAUACAUUAAUAACAAUAAUUAUAUUUUUAAUUUGAUUU